CCUACGGGAGGCUGCAGUGAGGAAUAUUGGUCAAUGGGCGCAAGCCUGAACCAGCCAAGUCGCGUGAGGGAAGACGGCCCUACGGGUUGUAAACCUCUUUUGCCGGGGAGCAAUCCUGAGCACGUGUGCACAGGCGGAGAGUACCUGGAGAAAAAGCAUCGGCUAACUCCGUGCCAGCAGCCGCGGUAAUACGGAGGAUGCGAGCGUUAUCCGGAUUUAUUGGGUUUAAAGGGUGCGCAGGCGGGCUGUUAAGCCGGCGGUAAAAAUUCAGGGCUCAACCCUGUCGAGCCGUCGGAACUGGCAGCCUUGAGUGGGCGAGAAGUAUGCGGAAUGCGUGGUGUAGCGGUGAAAUGCAUAGAUAUCACGCAGAACGCCGAUUGCGAAGGCAGCAUACCGGCGCCCGACUGACGCUGAGGCACGAAAGCGUGGGGAUCGAACAGGAUUAGAUACCCCGGUAGUC
rnacentral:rRNA from 1 species